AGGAAUUAAAUAUUGGCCAUGGGAGGUGUGAGAACAAUCAGGGGUAUGCACAUAAACUAUGGUUUUCUUGUGCAGUGACUUGGGCAGAAGGUCCAAUUUCUUGCCUUCAACCCGAAUCCACCAUGACUAUGAACGUAUCACAUUCUUCAGGUAAGAACUCAUUUUCAAUGUGCGCUUGUCAACUCUUCACGCAUUCUCCUUCCCGAAGUACGAAGUUUCUUACGGUAAAAUGGUGAAGAACACGACUCUGAAUCCGUACUCCAACCAUCAAGAAAUGCGACAAACUCUCCAUAAUGCUCUACAAGCGAGCUCCGAUGCGAACGGAUUACAGCGCCGCUAACUCAACGUGAUUAAUGGCCUCCAAAUCCGAAAUUAGAUCCAACUGAUUCGAAGUUUUUUUAUUUCAUUUUCAUGCGUGCGUGGAAUUUAAAGAAGACGACACUUAUGUGAUGCCAGGAAACUUACCUAUUCGGCGUUUCAACGCGAAAGAUUCAGGUUCGACUCUUGUUUUUUGAUGCGCUUGUCGUCGCUUUCAUCCUUGCUUCAGUCAUCGUUGUCGAUGCGUUGCAUAUCACCACUGAAUUGAAGCGAGGCCGAUGAAUCGUUCUGAGCAAGUGUGAGGAGAAGCGAGGAUGAUGAUGGCCGGUUGGAUUUCGCGGCUAGGUUACCCCUUUCCUUGUCGCUGCCUCCAUCUUCUUCUUCCUUCUUCUAGCUAUUUUCGAAUUUUUCUUCUUCUGUUUUUCGUUUCCGCUUUCUGUUAUGCUCCUCUUCUGUUGAGGUUCUGUUAUGGUGAAUUUGUGGUUGUUAUGGUUUUUGAGAGGGAGGGUGAGGUUAUGGAGGAUGGAGAGUGAAGUUCGGUGAUGGUUGAGAAGAUGAGUUGAGGGAGGAAGAGGUGAAGUGAGGGUGAAGCCGUGAAUGGUUUGUGUUAUGGCGGCUUUUAUGGAGGUUGCUAGUUUUUUCAAGGUUGGUGAUUGAAGGUUGGUUCAGGAGGUUCAUUUUCUUGUGAGGAUGGAGUUUUUGGUUGUUGCAGGGCUUUGUGUUUGUUGAUUGAUGGUUGCCAGAGAAGGUUCCAAAUUUGGUUAGGGGGAUUUAUAGGAAGUUAUUCUGUUAGAAGUUGGAUUCCAUUCUGUUAUGAGUUGAAAAGGUUUGAGGGAAUUCCUCUUACAAUUAGGGAGUUGUGAAGUUUGUUAAUGGGAGUGGAGUUUGUUAGAAAUUGUUAUGAGUUCUUGGAAUGGUUUCUUUUAGUUGGUUUUCGAGGGAGUUCGGUUUUGCUGUGUUGGUGGGAGGGUUCGAAACCUUUUGUGAUAAAAGGUCCCGUCGAAAACCAUUAUGGAAGUUGGAGGUUAUAGUUAUAGUUAGAAGCUUAUAGAAAACAGUUAGGUGGUUGGCAAAACCGUUAGGAAGUUGGUUGGUUUAGAAUUCAGAAAUUCUGUUUAGUGAAGCAUUAUGAGAUGCUGAUAAUUUUGGUUAAAUGAAUUUAUGUGGAACUCAUUAUGCUUCAGUUAGAUGUAUAUGUUAGUUAAAUGGAUUGUUCUAUGCUUGAACUGAAUGAGUUCAAUGAAUUAGUAUAUGAUGCUUGAAUAUUGGCUUUUGUAACUGAGUUUAAAACCAGUUAGAAAUUAACUUCUAUUGUGAUGUUAGUGAAUCAUGAAUCUACUUGAAUUAGCACUAUUGGAAUGUGAAUGGAAUGCCAAUUGCAUGAAACUUGCUAAUGAAUGAAUUAUUAUAUUGUACUGAAAAUUAACAAUGAUUCGCUUCUAGGUGAUGUUAGUAGAUUAGGAAUUUGACAUGAAUGAUAUGCGAAUGUUUCGGUUAUGGACUGAGUUGAAAAGUUCUGAAUUUGCAGGCAUGCUUGUGGCGCUUUCUUGGCUUGGGGUUUUGGAAUGCAUUUGGACUUAUGGUUUUCAUUGACCAUUGGAAUCGAUUUAAGCUGCUAGGAUAUGGCUUGUAUGCUAACUAGGUGGAAUUGGAAAGCUUGGAAUGUAAAUGGCCCAUGGGGAAAAUGAACUCGGGUUUGUUUAUGUAAAUUUUUGUAAUUAUUGUAUCGGUUUGAGUUAAUGGUUGUAAUUGGAUUGGAGAUUGUAUGUGGUAAUUUUGGAUAUUUUAUAAUGAUUUAUGUUAUGAAUUUGAAAUUAUUGUAAUGUUUACUGUUGUAAUGAAAUGUGAUGGUAAUAGUAUGUUUGGUUUAACGUUGAAUUUUAAAAAAUCACGGUAGCUUUUCACGUUUACACAGAAGCUACCUUUUGGAGCUUCUAGAAAAUCACGGCAGAGUGGCAUUUGACCGUGAGUUUGAUUGGUGAAAAACUAAACCAAACAUGCUAGUAAUCUCGAAUUGUAUGUAAUGGUCAAUUGGAAUUUGGUUUAUGAAUGGUUUUUGUGUUGAAAAUUGAAUGUUGGAUUUGUAAUGGUAUGAAUGGUUUUGGAAUGAAAUUUUUUGUAAUUUUGAAUUACUGGGUUUGUGAAUGGAAAUUGCAAGUGAAUGAUGGUUGAACUUGUAAUGUUGAAAUUGGAAUUGGUUUGAAAUUGUAUUUUAAAUGAAGAUGAAUAUAGUUGGUUCAUAUGUUUGAAAAAUGGAAAUUAAAAUUUUGGUUGAAUGUUUCAUGUAUUUGGAAAGUGUAAUGGUUAUUUCUUUAAAAAUAUGAUGAUUAUAAAUGGACUUAGAAUAUGAAGAAGAUUAAAAUGGAUUUAAAAAUAUGAAGAUGAUUAAAAAUGGAUUUUGGUUAGAUGGUUGACUUUGGUCAAUUGGUUGACCAAAACGUCAACAGUUGUCCAAAAGUCAACUUAGGUCGAAAUGUUUAUUCUCUCAUGGGAAACGAAAAUGGACCAUGAUUACAAUGCAACACACAAAUGAAUUGGAACUGUUGUGAAUUGAUUAUCCAAAGAACCAAAUAAAAAACAAGGUAUUAACAAACUAUGAACAUGAAUGCACCAUGACUGAAUGUGGAUAUGACUGAAAAAUCCAAUGUUCUUGAUCCAAAUAAAACAUGCGAAGUUCCAAGACUUAAAGUCCAAUCAAUCAAAGUCAACCAAAUGAUACUUAAUCAAGCAACUGUAACACCUUGAAUGAAUUCUAACCAAUGAACCAAAAUCAUGGAUCGUGAACAAACAACUGAAUCAUUUAAUGAACUAUAUGAUAUAAUCAUGUCCAUCACAUGAGCCAUAGCCUAGAGACUUAACCUUCCAUGCCUUGUGUGAUAAGAUCCCUGAACCCAUGAUUUUACUUUUUUCAAAUGCAAGUGAAAUGUGUUAUGAUACAAUGGAUAUGUGGACGAGAUGAAUGCAAAUGCUUGGUGUUAGUGACAAGCUGCUGGGGAUGGGGAUGUGAAGAUAGGUCACGAAGGAAUUAUCCACUGAGGUAUAGGGAUGAACCAAGUAACUUUUGUGCAAGGCAGCUGCUGGGGAUGAGAAGUUAUUUGGUAAAUGGAUAGUUAUGAAAGGUUAGAGAUGUAUGAUGUAUGCAGUAUGCUAAUGCAAUGUAAUUGAUCUCUUUUUUUUCCAACAAGCUCUCUGUUUUUUAUGAACAAGCUUUUUAUUUUUCAAUUUGUUUUUCAAAACUCUCUGGCAAGUACUGAGAACAAUUUUCCAUUGGGAAAAAGGGGCAACAGACGACUCCUCCGGGGAAGACAAUUUGAAAGUAGGUAGUUGGUCGUCAAAUCCGAGGUUGGGGACAAAAACAUGACCAACACCGAUUACUAGGGAUUAGAACUUUUUGACCUUAAUACUACGAAUGGGGUAAAACUGGGCAUUCUCAACUCUGCGGUUGGAAACAAAUAAUGAUUAACGUCGGCUAUGCGGCUGGAAAAGGGAUAAGCGUCAACUCUGAGUUUGGGUACAAUGGGAUGAACAUCGACUUUAAGGUCGAGAAUAAAGGUAGGCAUCAACUCUGAGGUUGGAUAUGUGGACAUCAGCUCUGAAACCGGGUAACAAGGAAGGGUUCAACAACUCGAAAGUUGGGAAAAAGGUAGACAUUCAACUCUAAGGUUGGGGAUAAAAGGUUCAUCAACUCCACGGUUGGAAAAAGGUAUACGUUCAACUCUGAGGUUGAAAAAAGAUAGACCUUCAACUCUGAGGCUGGGGAUAGCGAAGGAUAAACAGCAACUUUGAGGUUGGAAAAAGGUAGAUACUCGGCUCCGAGGCUAGCAAAAGAGAUACAUCAACUCCGAAGUUAAAAAAAA
rnacentral:lncRNA from 1 species